rnacentral:rRNA from 1 species
UGGGGAAUAUUGGACAAUGGGCGAAAGCCUGAUCCAGCCAUGCCGCGUGUGUGAAGAAGGUCUUCGGAUUGUAAAGCACUUUAAGUUGGGAGGAAGGGCCAUUACCUAAUACGUGAUGGUUUUGACGUUACCGACAGAAUAAGCACCGGCUAACUCUGUGCCAGCAGCCGCGGUAAUACAGAGGGUGCAAGCGUUAAUCGGAAUUACUGGGCGUAAAGCGCGCGUAGGUGGUUUGUUAAGUUGGAUGUGAAAUCCCCGGGCUCAACCUGGGAACUGCAUUCAAAACUGACUGACUAGAGUAUGGUAGAGGGUGGUGGAAUUUCCUGUGUAGCGGUGAAAUGCGUAGAUAUAGGAAGGAACACCAGUGGCGAAGGCGACCACCUGGACUGAUACUGACGCUGAGACGCGAAAGCGUGGGGAGCAAACAGGAUUAGAUACCCACGUAGUCCCUGAGCGGGCUGGCAAGGCGCAU